GAUGAACGCUGGCGGCGUGCCUAAUACAUGCCAGUCGAGCGAACAGACGAGGAGCUUGCUCCUUUGAUGUUAGCGGCGGACGGGUGAGUAACACGUAGGUAACCUACCUAUAAGACUGGGAUAACUUCGGGAAACCGGAGCUAAUACCGGAUAAUAUUUCGAACCGCAUGGUUCGAUAGUGAAAGAUGGCUUUGCUAUCACUUAUAGAUGGACCUGCGCCGUAUUAGCUAGUUGGUAAGGUAACGGCUUACCAAGGCAACGAUACGUAGCCGACCUGAGAGGGUGAUCGGCCACACUGGAACUGAGACACGGUCCAGACUCCUACGGGAGGCAGCAGUAGGGAAUCUGCCGCAAUGGGCGAAAGCCUGACGGAGCAACGCCGCGUGAGUGAUGAAGGUCUUCGGAUCGUAAAACUCUGUUAUUAGGGAAGAACAAACGUGUAAGUAACUGUGCACGUCUUGACGGUACCUAAUCAGAAAGCCACGGCUAACUACGU
rnacentral:rRNA from 1 species